rnacentral:rRNA from 1 species
GAAAUGAAUUUCGCCUGAGGAUGAGCUCGCGUCUGAUUAGCUAGUUGGUGGGGUAAAGGCCUACCAAGGCGACGAUCAGUAGCUGGUCUGAGAGGAUGAUCAGCCACACUGGGACUGAGACACGGCCCAGACUCCUACGGGAGGCAGCAGUGGGGAAUUUUCCGCAAUGGGCGAAAGCCUGACGGAGCAACGCCGCGUGAGGGAUGAAGGCCUCUGGGCUGUAAACCUCUUUUCUCAAGGAAGAAGACCUGACGGUACUUGAGGAAUAAGCCACGGCUAAUUCCGUGCCAGCAGCCGCGGUAAUACGGGAGUGGCAAGCGUUAUCCGGAAUUAUUGGGCGUAAAG